rnacentral:rRNA from 1 species
UUAAGCGACUAAGCGUACACGGUGGAUGCCCUGGCAGUCAGAGGCGAUGAAGGACGUGCUAAUCUGCGAUAAGCGUCGGUAAGGUGAUAUGAACCGUUAUAACCGGCGAUUUCCGAAUGGGGAAACCCAGUGUGAUUCGUCACACUAUCAUUAACUGAAUCCAUAGGUUAAUGAGGCGAACCGGGGGAACUGAAACAUCUAAGUACCCCGAGGAAAAGAAAUCAACCGAGAUUCCCCCAGUAGCGGCGAGCGAACGGGGAGCAGCCCAGAGCCUGAAUCAGUGUGUGUGUUAGUGGAAGCGUCUGGAAAGGCGUGCGAUACAGGGUGACAGCCCCGUACACAAAAAUGCACAUGCUGUGAGCUCGAUGAGUAGGGCGGGACACGUGGUAUCCUGUCUGAAUAUGGGGGGACCAUCCUCCAAGGCUAAAUACUCCUGACUGACCGAUAGUGAACCAGUACCGUGAGGGAAAGGCGAAAAGAACCCCGGCGAGGGGAGUGAAAAAGAACCUGAAACCGUGUACGUACAAGCAGUGGGAGCACGCUUAGGCGUGUGACUGCGUACCUUUUGUAUAAUGGGUCAGCGACUUAUAUUCUGUAGCAAGGUUAACCGAAUAGGGGAGCCGAAGGGAAACCGAGUCUUAACUGGGCGUUAAGUUGCAGGGUAUAGACCCGAAACCCGGUGAUCUAGCCAUGGGCAGGUUGAAGGUUGGGUAACACUAACUGGAGGACCGAACCGACUAAUGUUGAAAAAUUAGCGGAUGACUUGUGGCUGGGGGUGAAAGGCCAAUCAAACCGGGAGAUAGCUGGUUCUCCCCGAAAGCUAUUUAGGUAGCGCCUCGUGAAUUCAUCUCCGGGGGUAGAGCACUGUUUCGGCAAGGGGGUCAUCCCGACUUACCAACCCGAUGCAAACUGCGAAUACCGGAGAAUGUUAUCACGGGAGACACACGGCGGGUGCUAACGUCCGUCGUGAAGAGGGAAACAACCCAGACCGCCAGCUAAGGUCCCAAAGUCAUGGUUAAGUGGGAAACGAUGUGGGAAGGCCCAGACAGCCAGGAUGUUGGCUUAGAAGCAGCCAUCAUUUAAAGAAAGCGUAAUAGCUCACUGGUCGAGUCGGCCUGCGCGGAAGAUGUAACGGGGCUAAACCAUGCACCGAAGCUGCGGCAGCGACGCUUAUGCGUUGUUGGGUAGGGGAGCGUUCUGUAAGCCUGUGAAGGUGUACUGUGAGGUAUGCUGGAGGUAUCAGAAGUGCGAAUGCUGACAUAAGUAACGAUAAAGCGGGUGAAAAGCCCGCUCGCCGGAAGACCAAGGGUUCCUGUCCAACGUUAAUCGGGGCAGGGUGAGUCGACCCCUAAGGCGAGGCCGAAAGGCGUAGUCGAUGGGAAACAGGUUAAUAUUCCUGUACUUGGUGUUACUGCGAAGGGGGGACGGAGAAGGCUAUGUUGGCCGGGCGACGGUUGUCCCGGUUUAAGCGUGUAGGCUGGUUUUCCAGGCAAAUCCGGAAAAUCAAGGCUGAGGCGUGAUGACGAGGCACUACGGUGCUGAAGCAACAAAUGCCCUGCUUCCAGGAAAAGCCUCUAAGCAUCAGGUAACAUCAAAUCGUACCCCAAACCGACACAGGUGGUCAGGUAGAGAAUACCAAGGCGCUUGAGAGAACUCGGGUGAAGGAACUAGGCAAAAUGGUGCCGUAACUUCGGGAGAAGGCACGCUGAUAUGUAGGUGAAGCGACUUGCUCGUGGAGCUGAAAUCAGUCGAAGAUACCAGCUGGCUGCAACUGUUUAUUAAAAACACAGCACUGUGCAAACACGAAAGUGGACGUAUACGGUGUGACGCCUGCCCGGUGCCGGAAGGUUAAUUGAUGGGGUCAGCGCAAGCGAAGCUCUUGAUCGAAGCCCCGGUAAACGGCGGCCGUAACUAUAACGGUCCUAAGGUAGCGAAAUUCCUUGUCGGGUAAGUUCCGACCUGCACGAAUGGCGUAAUGAUGGCCAGGCUGUCUCCACCCGAGACUCAGUGAAAUUGAACUCGCUGUGAAGAUGCAGUGUACCCGCGGCAAGACGGAAAGACCCCGUGAACCUUUACUAUAGCUUGACACUGAACAUUGAGCCUUGAUGUGUAGGAUAGGUGGGAGGCUUGGAAGUGUGGACGCCAGUCUGCAUGGAGCCGACCUUGAAAUACCACCCUUUAAUGUUUGAUGUUCUAACGUUGACCCGUAAUCCGGGUUGCGGACAGUGUCUGGUGGGUAGUUUGACUGGGGCGGUCUCCUCCUAAAGAGUAACGGAGGAGCACGAAGGUUGGCUAAUCCUGGUCGGACAUCAGGAGGUUAGUGCAAUGGCAUAAGCCAGCUUGACUGCGAGCGUGACGGCGCGAGCAGGUGCGAAAGCAGGUCAUAGUGAUCCGGUGGUUCUGAAUGGAAGGGCCAUCGCUCAACGGAUAAAAGGUACUCCGGGGAUAACAGGCUGAUACCGCCCAAGAGUUCAUAUCGACGGCGGUGUUUGGCACCUCGAUGUCGGCUCAUCACAUCCUGGGGCUGAAGUAGGUCCCAAGGGUAUGGCUGUUCGCCAUUUAAAGUGGUACGCGAGCUGGGUUUAGAACGUCGUGAGACAGUUCGGUCCCUAUCUGCCGUGGGCGCUGGAGAACUGAGGGGGGCUGCUCCUAGUACGAGAGGACCGGAGUGGACGCAUCACUGGUGUUCGGGUUGUCAUGCCAAUGGCACUGCCCGGUAGCUAAAUGCGGAAGAGAUAAGUGCUGAAAGCAUCUAAGCACGAAACUUGCCCCGAGAUGAGUUCUCCCUGAGACUUUAAGUCUCCUGAAGGAACGUUGAAGACGACGACGUUGAUAGGCCGGGUGUGUAAGCGCAGCGAUGCGUUGAGCUAGCCGGUACUAAUGAACCGUGAGGCUUAACCU